rnacentral:rRNA from 1 species
AUUGAACGCUGGCGGCAGGCUUAACACAUGCAAGUCGAGCGGGGUGAGGUGCUUCGGUACUGAUCCUAGCGGCGGACGGGUGAGUAAUGCUUAGGAAUCUGCCAUUUAGUGGGGGACAACAUUCCGAAAGGGAUGCUAAUACCGCAUACAUCCUACGGGAGAAAGCAGGGGAUCUUCGGACCUUGCGCUAAAUGAUGAGCCUAAGUCGGAUUAGCUAGUUGGUGGGGUAAAGGCCUACCAAGGCGACGAUCUGUAGCGGGUCUGAGAGGAUGAUCCGCCACACUGGGACUGAGACACGGCCCAGACUCCUACGGGAGGUAGCAGUGGGGAAUAUUGGACAAUGGGCGGAAGCCUGAUCCAGCCAUGCCGCGUGUGUGAAGAAGGCCUUUUGGUUGUAAAGCACUUUAAGCGAGGAGGAGGCUACCUGGAUUAAUACUCUAGGAUAGUGGACGUUACUCGCAGAAUAAGCACCGGCUAACUCUGUGCCAGCAGCCGCCGUAA